UACGUAGGGGGGCAAGCGUUGUCCGGAAUCAUUGGGCGUAAAGAGCGUGUAGGCGGCCCGGUAAGUCCGCUGUGAAAGUCCAGGGCUCAACCCUGGGAUGCCGGUGGAUACUGUCGGGCUCGAGUCCGGAAGAGGAGUGUGGAAUUCCUGGUGUAGCGGUGAAAUGCGCAGAUAUCAGGAGGAACACCAAUGGCGAAGGCAGCACUCUGGGACGUGACUGACGCUGAGGCGCGAAAGCCAGGGGAGCAAACGGG
rnacentral:rRNA from 1 species